rnacentral:rRNA from 1 species
CCUACGGGUGGCAGCAGUGGGGAAUAUUGCACAAUGGGGGAAACCCUGAUGCAGCAACGCCGCGUGAGUGAUGACGGCCUUCGGCUUGUAAAGCUCUGUCUUCAGGGACGAUAGUUACGGUACCUGAGGAGGAAGCCACGGCUAACUACGUGCCAGCAGCCGCGGUAAUACGUAGGUGGAGAGCGUUGUCCGGAUGUACUGGGCGUAAAGGGAGCGGAGGCGGAUUAUUAAGUGAGAUGUGAAAUACUCGGGCUCAACUUGAGUACUGCAUUUCAAACUGGAAGUCUAGAGUGCAGAAGAGGAGAAUGGAACUCCUAGUGUAGCGGUGAAAUGCGUAGAGAUUAGGAAGAACACCAGUGGCGAAGGCGAUUCUCUGGACUGUAACUGACGCUGAGGCUCGAAAGCGUGGGGAGCAAACAGGAUUAGAUACCCGUGUAGUC